UACAGAGGGGGCAAGCGUUGUUCGGAAUUACUGGGCGUAAAGGGCGCGUAGGCGGCCUUCUAAGUCGAACGUGAAAUCCCCGGGCUCAACCCGGGAACUGCGUCCGAUACUGGAAGGCUUGAAUCCGGGAGAGGGAUGCGGAAUUCCAGGUGUAGCGGUGAAAUGCGUAGAUAUCUGGAGGAACACCGGUGGCGAAGGCGGGAUCCUGGACCGGUAUUGACGCUGAGGCGCGAAAGCCAGGGGAGCAAACGGG
rnacentral:rRNA from 1 species